GUUCUGUUCUCUGACCCCAGAUAAGUUUAUUAGGGUGCACAAUAUUUUGGGGAACACAAAACCACCACAGUAUGCUACAUCAAUUGAUGAGUAUUAUACAUAAAUAAGAAAUGUCAGAAAUGCAGUUUUCACAGUAGUGUGUUCACUAAGGGUUAAUUUGAAGCUCUACAUGUCUGAUUCCCAGAAGAAUCAUGCAAUCUUGAAAACACUUAGUGUUACAGUGUAUUAAUAGUGUGUUCCUUGAGUGCAUGUAGUGAAAAAGAAGGUAGUUGUCACGUCUUAAGAGAAAGGUUGAGUUAGCCUUCCAAAAACAAACACAAUGUCAGGUCAUGUGCAGUGAAUGGAAUUAACAGAUUAAAUCUCACAAAAAGAAGACUAGUAAACUUAGAAGCAUGAGGGGAAAGUUCUGAAAAGGUGUUCAAUGUCAGUGAAGUGCCUCAGUAGUCUUGUUAUUAGAGUCCCUAAAGAAAAAAGGAAGGGUAACAAAUAAUGCUUGAAAUUCUAGAUGAAAAGCAACAAAUAUGAGAGCGAAACCCAUAAACCAAAGAAUCUCAGGGAAUUCCAGGCACAAGAAACAGGAAAUCCUGCCAACACGUGCUUGAAACCAGUGAUGUAAACGUUUCUAUGAAAAUAGCAGUCUUCUCAGAAACCUAAAUCAGAAAACACUGAAGCAGCAGCAUCUCUACUGGAAGAAAAGUAGACCUAGAAUACUAUACACAGCUAAGAUGUACUUCAGAAACAAUUCCAAGUCCUUGAUGUAAGGAAGUUGAAGACCUACAUUUUAAAUAACAGUAUACACAGAUCUUAAGAGAAAGAUUGAGAGAAUCUUUCCAUGAUGUUCAGUAUGUGGAACCUCCAUUUGACGAUUCAAUUGCUGAUAUAGGACAGUCUUAAAGACCUCAAAUAUGAUGAAAAAGCCUUCUCUCAUUUAUCACUUGACUUGGCGGACCGAGUAUUGGCAGCAGUCAAAGAACUGGGAUUGCCAGCAGAUGGAUCUGGGAUGUGGCAUGGGACAGCUGGGUACAAGCUAAACAUGAAACAGAGACCUACGUGGCAUUGGUUUUGG